rnacentral:tRNA from 1 species
GCGCCCGUAGCUCAACCGGAUAGAGCAUCCGCCUUCUAAGCGGACGGUUGCAGGUUCGAGUCCUGCCGGGCGUGCCA